rnacentral:tRNA from 1 species
GCACGUGUAGCUCAAUGAUAUAGCACAUGCUUAGCAUGCAUGAGGUCCUGGGUUCAAGUCCUAGCACACACA